UCUAAGUUUGAUGGCGACCGGCGCACGGGUGAGUAACACGUAUCCAACCUGCCGAUGACUCGGGGAUAGCCUUUCGAAAGAAAGAUUAAUACCCGAUGGCAUAGUUCUUCCGCAUGGUAGAACUAUUAAAGAAUUUCGGUCAUCGAUGGGGAUGCGUUCCAUUAGGUUGUUGGCGGGGUAACGGCCCACCAAGCCUUCGAUGGAUAGGGGUUCUGAGAGGAAGGUCCCCCACAUUGGGACUGAGACACGGUCCAAACUCCUACGGGAGGCAGCAUG
rnacentral:rRNA from 1 species